rnacentral:tRNA from 1 species
GAGUUUGUGGCCGAGAGGUUCAGGCGCAAGGUUGUGGCUCUUGUUUACGCAGGUUCGAAUCCUGUCAAACUCCCA